CAUGCCUCCUGUCAUGUAGUUAAAACUGACAUCAAGGACCACGAUGCUGCUUGAUGACACCAGUUCCAGCGGUAAGCCACCGGACAGCAAGUUGUGGGACAAGUUGAGGCGCAUCAGACCUGUGAGAUUGCCAAGGGAAGGUGAUCCCUUCCCAUGCGCAGCAGUCCGUGCCAUUCUUCCAUGACAUGCCCAGGCCACCAUCCUUCGAGAGCCCAGUGAGAAACUGGAUGAGUGAGUUCCUCUCUUGCUCGGUGCAAGAACUGGUGGGAGAGGCCAAGAAGAGCAGCAGCACAAGAGCAUGGCCAAGGUAAGUCAUGUGAAAUCUGUUUUUGUGGUUCUUGUUGGAAAAAUGGAGGGGCUGCAUAGUUUUCUCCAUAGGCUAGCAUCGGAGCCAAUAGUCUGAUGAAGAAGGAACAUGAUAGGAAGGGAACAAACAGUUGCCAUCUCUUCUUUGUUUGAUCAUUCAAGUCAUAGUCACCAAAUUUAUGAGUCAGGAUUAAGAUCUUAUUGACUAAUUGCAGCAUCGCUUUCUAAGUUAACUAUUCCCCACCCGCCACUACAGUUUAUUGGAAAAACACAUCCUUUUUUUUUUGGCGAAAAGAAGGGACCUCACAGAUUUGCAAGAUCGGAUUGGUGAGGUACAUGACAAACAACAUCAUUCAGAAAAAGAAAAGGAGCACAUGUUUUGAAGCAGUCAUCGAUGUCAAGAUCCACAUGUGUACGGGCAUGGAAAGAACGGAUUAAUGGAGGAAAUAUUUCCCAGGGCUCUCUCGUUGACCCUGAGGCGUUUACUUUUCUUGCCGUUGUCAGCAUCAAAGCUUUGGUUUUGGUUAACAUCUAAGUUGCAAAUGGCAAUUGGUUUACGAUGGUUUUGGCCUUUGGACUGCGACUCUUGAAGUCUAGAUUAGCAGCAAUGCUGGACCAGACUGCAGCAUCAUUAGAGGGGCUGAGAAUCGAUUAGUCAGGUUAAUGGCAGUGUUCAUGUGAUCAUUAGCUGGUAUUUCAGUAACCAGCAAAAAGAUUGCUUGCAUUUGUCUUUUCCUUUGGCAGAUAAGGAGUACUUCUGAUGUUGAUAGAAUAUGCUGUUUCUAUGGCUAUGAUAAUGUCUGUCAAAUACAAAUGCAGAAGGGCACAAGUGGCUAUCAUUAAAAAUCAAAGUUACAAGGAGUUAAAAAUAAGUUUCAGGAAAAUGAAGGCGGCAGCAAGAAUUGACCGUACUCUUUUCAUUUUUAUCUAGUACUUCCUCCGUUUUAUAAUGUAAGGGUUUCUAACAUUAACCACAUUCGUAUAGAUGUUAAUGAAUCUAAACACAUAUAUUUAUAUGAAUGUGGGUAAUACUAGAAAGUAUUACAUUAUGAAACGGAGGGAGUGUAAAUUUUGUCUGUAACUAUCAGUAUGUUCUUUUGCCGGGUCGGCCGAACGAGGCAGACCAAAUUUCAUUAUGGUAAAGGAGAAUGUAAAGAACUAUAAGCAUAUUCCAGCAUGUCAGGUAAUGACCAAACAAGAAAAAUGCUUGUAUGGAAGAUAUUAUAUCAGCUUUUGGUCCGUCACUUUCACAGAUCGGUUUA